CGCAAGGGGGCGGGGUCCAGGCGGGGCGUGGGGGGGGACCCCAAGCGUCGCGGGCGCGAGGGAGCCAAUCAAUUCUCUCCGCAGCUCCGGGGAUAGAAAACAAGUGUAAACACAUAGAUUUCACUCCCCACGAGCGGUCCGUAGUUUGGGGUAGAAAAGAUCUUUUUCUUUCGAUAAGAGCGCAUUUCUAGCGUAGGUUGGGAAGCCGACACUCCCCGGUAACUGGCAGGGGGAGGCGGUUUGCGGGACGCUGCCGGGGGGCGCUGAGCUUUGUGCCAACCUCUCCCAGCGUCCGGCCAGCCAGGAGAAAGCUGCGAAUGCAGGAGGGGAUGAAGGCGGAGAAUGGGUGAGGAAGGAAGGGGCUGGGAAAUGGGAAGAGGUCGUUCUGCCCCCGAUACUACAUAAUGGCUGGGAAGGACCGCCAAACAAGACUGGAACCAGUAGGAAGUUGUACGGUAUGAAGAAACAGGCCCAAGGAAGCUUCCAGAUUUUGUCAGAUGGUAGAUUCCAAGUCUCCAACUUCUACUGCUGCUUGGUGCUGUCUAACCGUCCCUUAAUGGCACAGAUUCACUGGACAGAUGUGGAUAAACAGAAUGAGGAAGGGAAGAGAACCUCUUGGAAGACAUGUGAGCCUGCGCUAGGCUUGUGUUUCACCCUUCCAGAAAACCCAUGGACCAGUAUUAUUAUGCCCAUUUUACAGAAAUUGAUGUUCAGCAAGGUUUGGAAAAUGAAAUUCAACUAUUGUGUUACCCAUUAUCUGUUGAAGGCUAUCUGAUUUUAGGAAUCUAAUAAGAUCUCAAAUGGUCGUAAUAGCAAGUGGGAUCCCAUAUUUUGUUUAUAGUAGGAGCUUUAUUAACUUUUUAAAUUGGUACCAUGUACUGAAACUUUAAACUUUGCUUUAGUGUUCUUUAUUAACUCUCCAGUAGUACUCAAACAGAUUCUUUCAUAGUUAGGAAACCUCAAAGUCACUGAUUAUCUGAUCUGAAGAUUCAAGGACUAACACACCUACAAUAGGAAUGAAGUUUCUGAAACUUUAGACCCCCUCCAGAUACUUAGCUGAUUACCACAAAAACCACUAAAAGCUUGAGUAUAUUUUUAGUCACUGCUCUUCAGGCAUAUUGAUUGGCUUAGCAAGAGUUUUUUUAUAUUGGAAAAGAUUACCAAAGAGUAAGAUAUAUUGUAAAUCAGAGAAAGAUGAAAAAAAAGUGCAAGGAAAAACAAAACAAAAAAAUUUUCUAAAGAAAUUUUGAAUCAAAACUUAUCUACAUAGCAUUUCCUAGAAUUUGCAGUAUUUAACCCUCCAAGGGACAGGCUGAAAACUUCCCAUAUCAGCUUUUGAAAGAGCUGAGUUGGGAGAGGGAGAUAAUUCCCUUCCCAUCUUUGUUUCCAGAGGUAACAGGCAAGUAAAUAAAGAAAAGCAAUCAAAGAUUACA
rnacentral:lncRNA from 1 species